GCGCGCGUAAAGCGCGCGCAGGCGGUCCUUUAAGUCUGAUGUGAAAGCCCACGGCUCAACCGUGGAGGGUCAUUGGAAACUGGGGGACUUGAGUGCAGAAGAGGAGAGUGGAAUUCCACGUGUAGCGGUGAAAUGCGUAGAGAUGUGGAGGAACACCAGUGGCGAAGGCGACUCUCUGGUCUGUAACUGACGCUGAGGCGCGAAAGCGUGGGGAGCGAACAGGAUUAGAUACCCUGGUAGUCCACGCCGUAAACGAUGAGUGCUAAGUGUUAGAGGGUUUCCGCCCUUUAUUGCUGCUGCAAACGCAUUAAGUACUCCGCCUGGGGAGUACUGCCG
rnacentral:rRNA from 1 species